rnacentral:lncRNA from 1 species
ACAACAAAAUGAUUGUAUAUGUUUAUUAACAUUGCCAUCUGGUCUUGUACAUGUUGCCGUUUUCAAAUCGAUUCUAUCUUGAAUACUUUUUGAGAAAAAUGUAAAAGAAAGAAAUUGCUUCAAGGGGACAUAACUCUCAUAGGGAAUGAUGAAAUCCUUAGCAGCCUCAUAUGGUAACACAUCAUGAUGAGAUCUAACUAUUGUCCAAAUAAGGUCAUGAUAUCUUUAAAAACAACGAGGGGGGCCAUGUCGAAAAAAAACAAUAAAAGGGAGAUAACUUCUAAAGGGGAUGAUGAAAUCCUACACAGCCUCAUCUGGUAAUACUUCAUGAUGAGGUCUACCGAUGGUCCAUAUUUGGUCUUGAUAACUCCAAUAGAAACGAGGGGAGGCCAUGUCAAACAAAUGCUGGAUGAAAAAAAAAAAAAAAAAAAAAAAAAAAAAAAAAAGGAAAAAACAAUAAGGUCUUUCCUCGCGGAGAGGAAAGACCUAAAAAAAAAAAAAAAAAAAAACUAGUAUCUCAAUUGUUUGUAAAACAAUUGAAAGGUCUUUCCUGUAAAAGUGAUGUUUUCGUAUUGUACUUUGUACGACCUUUCGUUUGAUAUACGACAAGCACACCUUCUGAAACUUUUCGCUUUUUACACUUAAUGACCUCAUCCGCUACAUUUUUGAGAUCGGAAUUAUGAUAUAUGGAACAGAGUAGAUGAGCUUUCGUUUGAUAUGCGACAACACCAUGUUCUUGAAAGUUUGAUUUUUGCACUUAAUAACCCUAUCCAACAAAUUUUUGGAGGUCGGGAAUUUGAUAUUUCAAAUGUACACAUCAUGACCUUUCAUUUGAUAUACAACAACCCUACCUUAAAAGAACAUUUAUUUUUUGCACUCAAUGACCCCAUCCAACCCAUUUUUGGGAGACGUCAAUUUGAAAUUUGAAAUGUACGCUUUAUGUUCUUUCAUUUGAUAUGCGACAACCUUACCAUCUGAGAAAUUUGAAUGUUUGCACUAAAUGACCCCACCCGUCCCCCUGGGAUGAAAAGGGGGUUUAAAAUUUUCAUUUUUAAGUAGAGUUUAUUAAGACCUUCAAUUUGAUAUAUCAGAUGACCCCAUUUGACAAAGUGCAAAUAAUGAUGCAAUAUCAACUAUAUAAAUAGAAGUUAUGAAACUUACAAAGUCAAUGCAAAACUUGAAAAUUUCAAAUUGAUUUUUUGGUGUUUUUUUCCAUGGAAUGUUUUUGGUAUUUGGUCAAACAUAUAACUAUGUCAACCUCUUCAAUUUCUAAAACAUUUUAAGUGGUAAGCUCUUGUUGAUUCAGAAAUACAUGCCUCCGCUCGAAAAACUUCAAACUGCAUUAUCUCUAAAACGACAAUAGAUAUCUCAAAUCUGUUAAAUGAUAAAUGAUCUACAGUUAAAGGACAACAUUAUAGAAAAAGAAUUGGGACAAUUUCAAAGUUCACCAAGGUCACAAUUAAUCAUCAAAUAUAUGAUGCAAUACAAAACUUGAGAACCGGAAGUCGUAGAGACAUGGGACUAUCACCAUUCAACUCAGGACCACUUGACCUUUCAAAUAUCACAAGGUCAAGGUCAUAGUAAAAUGUGAAGGUCAAGGUGAAAUUUCAUCAUGACCUGACAUUGACCUCAAAUUGAAGGUCUUGAACUACUGAUCAUCUUUGCAGUUUAUAGUAGGUUGAUAUCUGUUACCUUUAAAAAGAUAUACACACAAUACUAUACUUUUAAGAAUCAUCCCGUCGUAACUUUUGAACAGACAGUCGGACUCUUUUGAGGUCAGAGUAUAAAAUGUAGAGCUCGUCGAGAGGAACAUUUUAUACGCUGUAAGUAUGCAGCAAACUCUUAUCGUUUUCUUAAUAUGAAAGCUUGAAAUUGCAGCGCGUAAUUUUUUUUUGCACUCGGUGACCUUUGACCUUGGGUGCAAAUUAAAGGUCACAUGAACUUAAGAUUAUUGGUGUAGGUCCCAAGUCUUUACGACUUCCGGUUCUCGAGAUACAAUUUUUCAAAAAUUGUGUAUAUUUUUUCAAGGGAAAUAACUCCUUAUAAGGGUUAACAACAAAAUGAUUGUAUAUGUUAAUUAACAUUGCCAUCUGGUCUUGUACAUGUUGCCGUUUUCAAAUCGAUUCUAUCUUGAAUACUUUUUGAGAAAAAUGUAAAAGAAAGAAAUUGCUUCAAGGGGACAUAACUCUCAUAGGGAAUGAUGAAAUCCUUAGCAGCCUCAUAUGGUAACACAUCAUGAUGAGAUCUAACUUUUGUCCAAAUAAGGUCAUGAUAUCUUUAAAAACAACGAGGGGGGCCAUGUCGAAAAAAAACAAUAAAAGGGAGAUAACUUCUAAAGGGGAUGAUGAUGAAAUCCUACACAGCCUCAUCUGGUAAUACUUCAUGAUGAGGUCUACCGAUGGUCCAUAUUUGGUCUUGAUAACUCGAAUAGAAACGAGGGGAGGCCAUGUCAAACAAAUGCUGGAUGAAAAAAAAAAAAAAAAAAAAAAAACGUAAGGAGAAAAAAUAUGCGACAACCUUACCAUCUGAGAAAUUUGAAUUUUUUUGAUAUCACUAAAUGACAACCCCACCAACUUCCCAUGCCUGGGAUGAGAAAGAGGUUUUAAAAUUUUCAUUUUUAAGUAGAGUUUAUUGAGACCUUCAAUUUGAUAUAUCAGAUGACCCCAUUUGACAAAGUGCAAAAAAUGAUGCAAUAUCAACGAUAUAAAUAGAAGUUAUGAAACUUACAAAGUCAAUGCAAAACAUGAAAAUUUCAAAAUGAUUUUUUGGUGUUUUUUUUCAAUGGAAUGUUUUUGGUAUUUGGUCAAACAUAUAACUAUGUUAACCUCUUCAAUUUCUUAAAACAUUUUAAGUGGUAAGCUGUUGUUGAUUCAGAAAUACAUGCCUCCGCUCGCAAAAUUUCAAACUGCAUUAUCUCUAAAACGACAAUAGAUAUCUCAAAUCUGUUAAAUGAUAAAUGAUCUACAGUUAAAGGACAACAUUAUAGAAAAAGAAUUGGGACAAUUUCAAAGUUCACCAAGGUCACAAUUAAUCAUCAAAUAUAUGAUGCAAUACCAAACUUGAGAACCGGAAGUCGUAGAGACAUGGGACUACCACCAUUCAACUCAGGACCACUUGACCUUUCAAAUAUCACAAGGUCAAGGUCAUAGUAUAAUGUGAAGGUCAAGGUGAAAUUUCAUCAUGACCUGACAUUGACCUCAAAUUGAAGGUCUUGAAUUACUGAUCAUCUUUGCAGUUUAUAGUAGGUUGAUAUCUGUUACCUUUAAAAAGAUAUACACAAAAUACUAUACUUUUAAGAAUCAUCCCGUUGUAACUUUUGAACAGACAGUCGGACAUUUUUGAACUUAUCAUAUAAAAUGUAGAGCUCGUCGAGAGGAACAUUUUAUACGCUGUAUGUAUGCAGCAAAGUCUUAUCGUUUUCCUAAUAUGUAAGCUUGAAAUUGCAGCGUAAUUUUUUUUUUGCACUCAGUGACCUUUGACCUUGACUGCAUAUUAAAGGUCACAUGAAUUAAAGAUUAUUGGUGAAGGUCCCAAGUCUCUACGACUUCCGGUUCUCGAAAUACAAUUUUUCUAAAAUUAUGUAUACAAUUUUUCAAGGGGAAUAACUCCUUAUAAGGGUUAAUAACAAAAUGAUUGUACAUGUUCAUUAACAUUGCCAUCUGUUCCUGUACAUGUUGCCAUUUUCAAAUCGAUUCUAUCUUUUAAUACUUUUUGAGAAAAAUGCAAAGGAAAGAAAUUGUUUCAAGGGGAUAUAACUCUCAUAGGGACGAUGAAAUCCUAUUCAGCCUCAUAUGGUAAUACAUCAUGAUGAGAUCUACAUUAUGUCCAAAUAAGGUCAUGAUAUCUUUAAAACCAACGAGGGGGGGCCAUGUUGAAAAAAAUCAAUAAAAGGGAGAUAACUUCUAAAGGGGAUGAUGAAAUCCUUACACAGGGUCAUUGGUAAUACAUCUUGAUGAGGUCUAGCGAUGGUCCAUAUUUGGUCUUGAUAACUUCAACAGAAACAAGAGGCGAGCAUGUCAAAAAAAUGUUGGAAGAAAAAAAAGAAAAAACUAGUAUCUCAAUUGUUUGUAAAACAAUUGAAAGGUCUUUCCUGUAAAAGUGAUGUUUUCGUAUUGUACUUUGUACGACCUUUCGUUUGAUAUACGACAAGCACACCUUCUGAAACUUUUCGCUUUUUACACUUAAUGACCUCAUCCGUCUACAUUUUUGAGAUCGGAAUUAUGAUAUAUGGAACAGAGUAGAUGAGCUUUCGUUUGAUAUGCGACAACACCAUGUUCUUGAAAGUUUGAUUUUUGCACUUAAUAACCCUAUCCAACAAAUUUUUGGAGGUCGGGAAUUUGAUAUUUCAAAUGUACACAUCAUGACCUUUCAUUUGAUAUACAACAACCCUACCUUAAAAGAACAUUUAUUUUUUGCACUCAAUGACCCCAUCCAACCCAAUUUUUGGGAGACGUCAAUUUGAAAUUUGAAAUGUACGCUUUAUGUUCUUUCAUUUGAUAUGCGACAACCUUACCAUCUGAGAAAUUUGAAUGUUUGCACUAAAUGACCCCACCCGUCCCCCUGGGAUGAAAAGGGGGUUUAAAAUUUUCAUUUUUAAGUAGAGUUUAUUAAGACCUUCAAUUUGAUAUAUCAGAUGACCCCAUUUGACAAAGUGCAAAUAAUGAUGCAAUAUCAAUUAUAUAAAUAGAAGUUAUGAAACUUACAAAGUCAAUGCAAAACUUGAAAAUUUCAAAUUGAUUUUUUGGUGUUUUUUUCCAUGGAAUGUUUUUGGUAUUUGGUCAAACAUAUAACUAUGUCAACCUCUUCAAUUUCUAAAACAUUUUAAGUGGUAAGCUCUUGAUGAUUCAGAAAUACAUGCCUCCGCUCGCAAAAACUUCAAACUGCAUUAUCUCUAAAACGACAAUAGAUAUCUCAAAUCUGUUAAAUGAUAAAUGAUCUACAGUUGAAGGACAACAUUAUAGAAAAAGAAUUGGGACAAUUUCAAAGUUCACCAAGGUCACAAUUAAUCAUCAAAUAUAUGAUGCAAUACAAAACUUGAGAACCGGAAGUCGUAGAGACAUGGGACUAUCACCAUUCAACUCAGGACCACUUGACCUUUCAAAUAUUACAAGGUCAAGGUCAUAGUAAAAUGUGAAGGUCAAGGUGAAAUUUCAUCAUGACCUGACAUUGACCUCAAAUUGAAGGUCUUGAACUACUGAUCAUCUUUGCAGUUUAUAGUAGGUUGAUAUCUGUUACCUUUAAAAAGAUAUACACACAAUACUAUACUUUUAAGAAUCAUCCCGUCGUAACUUUUGAACAGACAGUCGGACUCUUUUGAGGUCAGUGUAUAAAAUGUAGAGCUCGUCGAGAGGAACAUUUUAUACGCUGUAAGUAUGCAGCAAACUCUUAUCGUUUUCUUAAUAUGAAAGCUUGAAAUUGCAGCGUAAUUUUUUUUUUGCACUCGGUGACCUUUGACCUUGGGUGCAAAUUAAAGGUCACAUGAACUUAAGAUUAUUGGUGUAGGUCCCAAGUCUUUACGACUUCCGGUUCUCGAGAUACAAUUUUUCAAAAAUUGUUUAUAUUUUUUCAAGGGAAAUAACUCCUUAUAAGGGUUAACAACAAAAUGAUUGUAUAUGUUAAUUAACAUUGCCAUCUGGUCUUGUACAUGUUGCCGUUUUCAAAUCGAUUCUAUCUUGAAUACUUUUUGAGAAAAAAUGUAAAAGAAAGAAAUUGCUUCAAGGGACAUAACUCUCAUAGGGAAUGAUGAAAUCCUUAGCAGCCUCAUAUGGUAACACAUCAUGAUGAGAUCUAACUUUUGUCCAAAUAAGGUCAUGAUAUCUUCAAAAACAACGAGGGGGGCCCAUGUCGAAAAAAACCAAUAAAAGGGAGAUAACUUCUAAAGGGGAUGAUGAAAUCCUACACAGCCUCAUCUGGUAAUACUUCAUGAUGAGGUCUACCGAUGGUCCAUAUUUGGUCUUGAUAACUCCAAUAGAAACAAGGGGAGGCCAUGUUAAACAAAUGCUGGAUGAAAAAAAAAAAAAAAAAAAAAAAAAAAAAAAAAAAAAACAGGAGAAAAACAAUAAGGUCUUUCCUCGCGGAGAGGAAAGACCUUAAUUAGAAAAACAAUAAGGUCUUUCCUCACGAAGGGGAAAGACCUUAAA